CUUGCUGGGCCCGGGCGGGGGAUCUCACGGCCUUUGGCCCGGAGGGAUCAGCCCAUCCCGGCACGGCCUGUUUGCACUCGGAUUUCCCGUGGGCUUCCCCAGCUGCUUCCGAGCCUCCGCCUCUGCUGCCUCGGCCCGUUUGUUUGCUUGCGCCGCGGGAGGAGGGCGCGAGGUGUCCCAGGUCGGGCCUGGCCACACCUUCCGCUCCCCAGGUGUCUGAAACAGAAUUGGCGCUUCCCGGCUCCAAGUUCAACCCGUGUCGGUAAACAAGCGGCUCCGGGCCGGCCGCGUACCCCCGGGUCUGGCCCUCGCGCAACGCGAGAUCGCCCAAGCAGCCGAGCCCCCGGACCAGUUUCUGGCCUGGGAGCGGCGGUCAAAACACCUGGAUACAAACCAGCUACAUUGGGGCUAAUUCGCAGAGACCCGGCGCGGGGCAGUCUGGGCCACUUCCUGAGGCUUUCUGCAGGUGCUCCGGGAAGGCUGGAAGAACACACUGCCCUUGGUCUCUGAGUCAAGAAGACCAGGGAUUCAGAACUGGGAGGAACGUGAGAGACGGCUCGUUUCAGGGGGUGGGAGCCGGUAUUGAGAAAUGGGGGGCCCCCCACCUCUCCCCGCCUUAAUUCUCUGGCCAAGCCGAGGGGACACUCUGGUGGGGACUUUCUUAAUUGAUACAUGUUAGAUGGUAGCACCCAAAACUUCCGAGCCUUCCAACCUUGGGGACCCUGGUGGAGUCUGGGGGGAGGCUUUUCCUCUACUAUCAAAGGAGGGGAAUUGCCUCCUACCUCACAAACCAGUCUUAGGGGUGCAGAAGAAAACUUGCCAUAUUCGUUCAUGGCUGUUGAAGGCUGCCUUUGAAUCCGUGUCUUCCUGACCUCAGCACAUAAAUUAUGCUACCCUUCCCUGGGCUCUGCGAUCUUGGACAAGUCUAAAGAGCUCAGUGGCUUCAUCUGUUGACAACAACAACAAAAAUAAUAAUUAUAAUAAUAUUUUAAGGUUCAUGUAAAUAAUAUUAAUAAUAAUGAAUAAUAACACUUUGAGGUUCAUCAGUGUUUUGUAUUUUAUCUUAAGGGAUAGUCUCACAACAGGAGAUGUUAUUUUCAUCCCCAUUUUACAGGGGAGGAAACUGAGGUCCAGAGAAGUGAAAUUAAUUUCUCAGGGGUCACCCAGCUAUUAAUUAAGUUACUGAGACAAGAUUAGAAUUCAGAUGUUAAGCAUUCCUGACCUCCUCCCCCAGCUCUAUCUACUCAUGUAAAAAAUAAAGGGGUGAGUCUAGGUGAGCUCUAGGGUCUCUUUUCAGCUCUCUACCUAUAACCUUAAGACCUGUGAUUACCUACUCUGGCCCUGUGGCACAGAGGGGAAUCCUUGCGGUGUCCAAAUUGACACCAUUUAGAGAAGCAGCUUUGCUUGGGUCUGCCAGUUUGGAAUGGGCCGAAGGACUGGCCUGCAUUUGUAGAUCAGCCUAGCUAACUCUGGAGAGACUGAGCCUUGGGGUUGAGUACCAGGUGAUGAAUUUCUUUCCCUCACCCCCUGCUAUCAUCAGCUUUGUAAAUAGGGGCCAGGGUCCCACCUGUCUGGAGGAGAGGGCUCAUCUCGAGUUGUUUUGGCCUUGGGAAGGCCCUGAGCCCAUUUCCUUCUCAGUGAAAGGCAGGGAUUGAACUUGGGGUUCUUUUGCAGCUCUGAAUCAGUAAUCUUGCAAUCUGCUUAUCCCUCACUUUUUAUGUUUCUAG
ensembl:lncRNA